rnacentral:rRNA from 1 species
CGCUAGCUACAGGCUUAACACAUGCAAGUCGAGGGGCAGCAUUUUAGUUUGCUUGCAAACUGAAGAUGGCGACCGGCGCACGGGUGAGUAACACGUAUCCAACCUGCCGAUAACUCCGGAAUAGCCUUUCGAAAGAAAGAUUAAUACCGGAUAGUAUACGAAUAUCGCAUGGUAUUUUUAUUAAAGAAUUUCGGUUAUCGAUGGGGAUGCGUUCCAUUAGUUUGUUGGCGGGGUAACGGCCCACCAAGACUACGAUGGAUAGGGGUUCUGAGAGGAAGGUCCCCCACAUUGGAACUGAGACACGGUCCAAACUCCUACGGGAGGCAGCAGUGAGGAAUAUUGGUCAAUGGGCGAGAGCCUGAACCAGCCAAGUAGCGUGAAGGAUGAAGGCUCUAUGGGUCGUAAACUUCUUUUAUAUGGGAAUAAAGUUUUCCACGUGUGGAAUUUUGUAUGUACCAUAUGAAUAAGGAUCGGCUAACUCCGUGCCAGCAGCCGCGGUAAUACGGAGGAUCCGAGCGUUAUCCGGAUUUAUUGGGUUUAAAGGGAGCGUAGGUGGAUUGUUAAGUCAGUUGUGAAAGUUUGCGGCUCAACCGUAAAAUUGCAGUUGAAACUGGCAGUCUUGAGUACAGUAGAGGUGGGCGGAAUUCGUGGUGUAGCGGUGAAAUGCUUAGAUAUCACGAAGAACUCCGAUUGCGAAGGCAGCUCACUAGACUGUCACUGACACUGAUGCUCGAAAGUGUGGGUAUCAAACAGGAUUAGAUACCCUGGUAGUCCACACAGUAAACGAUGAAUACUCGCUGUUUGCGAUAUACAGUAAGCGGCCAAGCGAAAGCAUUAAGUAUUCCACCUGGGGAGUACGCCGGCAACGGUGAAACUCAAAGGAAUUGACGGGGGCCCGCACAAGCGGAGGAACAUGUGGUUUAAUUCGAUGAUACGCGAGGAACCUUACCCGGGCUUAAAUUGCAACAGAAUAUAUUGGAAACAGUAUAGCCGUAAGGCUGUUGUGAAGGUGCUGCAUGGUUGUCGUCAGCUCGUGCCGUGAGGUGUCGGCUUAAGUGCCAUAACGAGCGCAACCCUUAUCUUUAGUUACUAACAGGUGAUGCUGAGGACUCUAGAGAGACUGCCGUCGUAAGAUGUGAGGAAGGUGGGGAUGACGUCAAAUCGGCACGGCCCUUACGUCCGGGGCUACACACGUGUUACAAUGGGGGGUACAGAAGGCGGCUACCUGGUGACAGGAUGCUAAUCCCAAAAACCUCACUCAGUUCGGAUCGAAGUCUGCAACCCGACUUCGUGAAGCUGGAUUCGCUAGUAAUCGCGCAUCAGCCAUGGCGCGGUGAAUACGUUCCCGGGCCUUGUACACACCGCCCGUCAAGCCAUGAAAGCCGGGGGUACCUGAAGUACGUAACCGCAAGGAGCGUCCUAGGGUAAAACUGGUAAUUGGGGCU